CGCAGAUCUGGAGCGGGGUGGGGGUUGGCGGCGGCCGACUUAUACUGCACCGAGGCCGCGGGGCGGAGCCGGACCAGGACUGUUCCGACUGGGAACAGCAAUGCUGCUUUUUACAAACAAGGAGAUUUGAAAGAUGCUGCAGAAAUGGAAAAGAGAGUUUCAAAUGAUACUAAUACAAUUUUUGACUGAAUGAAAGUAUAAGAAUCUCAUCAAAUAACAGAAACAUGAUUCCUCACACACAUGGGACAAAGAUGUAGAGUUACUCCUCUUGGAAAAAAAAUACUACAUCCUUAUCCCUAAUGCCUGCAAGUUUAAUAUAAUUGUAAAUCCUAGUAUGUGUACAUCUCUAACAUGGCUACAAUACUAAUCAAAGAAAAGAAAAUUGCAAUUGCAUGGAUGCUUCUAGUGCUUAGGAACAUUUUCUUAUUCAGAGUCAUCUUUCUAUACUAUGCCUUGCUUUGUGUGGGGUAUAGGCAAGACUGACAAAAUUCAGACACUCCAGAAGAACAAGACAGUAGUGCAAAAUUUUCCAUGUCAAACCAAUGGGCCUUAUUUUCUUCUUUUUCUCAUUUCAUUUGGUCUUUUAUUCAGCUUUUUUUCCACUGUCAUAGAAACAAAGUGAUGAAGUUGUAACUCUGACCCAACACACACACAAAGAAUGGACUUGACUUGUUCCCAGAAACUUGUUUGGAUAGACAACAGGCCUGUCUCUAGUCAUCUCUAGAGCCUGUAGAGAUGCAUACAAAAUAACUCACCUUUCAUAAAUGUGGCAACUUAUUACAAGUAAGAGAAGCUUCAUGUGCCUCCUGUUGCUGAAUUCUGUUUGAGUGCUGCUCCUCUGAUUUGCACAACAGAUCUGUUAAAGGUUAAAUAAAUAAAUGUGUAAUUUGUAUAGAUUAUUUUCUCUGAAAGUUCAGAUAAUGUAAAAAAAUAUAGAUUAUUAUUAUUAAAUUAGUUGUGGCUUUUAAAUUAUUCUAAGGAAUAGUAGUUACUACAUUUGGUAUUCUGAUAAACUUACAUGGCAGAGUGAAUUAGUUUGUUUAAAAGAUAAAACCAUGAAGCUGUUGACAUGCAUGCUUUCAUUUACCAUUAUGUCAUUUAUGUAAAUAAGUGUAAAUGGUGUAAAUGUUAAUCCAAAUAACCCAAUGAGAAAUGCUAAACUACAUCAUGUAAAUUAUUACAAUUGGGAGAGUCUUGACAACUGUUCACUAUUAACUGCUCCAUAGCAGCCUAACAAGAGCCAGGCAGAACAAGUAUGAGACUGCAGCAAGCUGAUCAAAGUGAAAAUCAAUGACACCAGCAGUUAUCAGAAAUGUUUCUGUCUUCUCUGGCUGUGCUAGUAAAAGAUUAGCUUGUCCAAGGCUGGUUAUGAAACUGUUGACUUUUUCAAAUAUCCAAGGUAUUUUGAAAAAAAGCAAAAUAGCAGUUAGAGCUCUGAACUGCAGAGACCUUUCCUCGAUAUUUUUUUUCAUUGUUCUGGACUUUUCUGCGCUUCUAUUUCUGUGAUGGCCAUCACGGUAAUACUUGCAAGUAUAUAAAGAACACUAUGAUAAUCAAAUUAUAGUGCCCAUAUUGCAAUGUUUGGACUUUCAGCCCAGAUGUAUUAUUUGGCUGAGUCACCUGUGCAAGCACAAGAUCAACCUGUUUGGGGAACAACAGGUUUCCUAUGUGAAGAUGUUAGUGAAUCCUAGGGACAUUGCUACGGAAAAAAAGAGUUUCAUUUUUCACAAGGCAGCUUGGAUUUUUGUAGCAAAACCUUACUCGUUGCAAGAGCUCAGAUUUAUGCUUUUAUCCAGGCUCUUUCUGCCUUUGAAAUCCUUGUCAUAGUCUGAUGUCUCUGCACAGUUCAUGAAAUAAUAUAUCUAAUUUCUAUUACUAUAGGGAAAAGAACAUGAGUGGUUUUCAGAUGGAUUCUGUUUCACCUGCUAAUCAUUAGGAGCUUUCCUCUGUUUAGAAAUAUAAUUGUGUAAUUGAA